AGAGAAAGAUAAAGUAUAGGUUCUUGAUUAGAUUAAGAAUUACUCUCGCUGUUAGUUCAAAUAAUACAAUAUAAGUAAAAAACAGAGUCUCGUAGCUCAGCUGGUUAGAGUACUACACUGAUAAUGUAGGGGUCGGCAGUUCGAGUCUGCCCGGGACUACUUUUUUAACUUAUAAGGAAAUUCUAGAAGUUGGGAUUCACAAUUCAUAAUUCUGAAUUCAUAAUUCUGAAUUUAAAAUUGGGGGAUUAGCUCAGCUGGCUAGAGCGCUUGCCUUGCACGCAAGAGGUCAUCGGUUCGACUCCGAUAUUCUCCACAGAUUUAGUCGAAAGACUAAAGUCUGAAAGUCACAAGUCCUCGGGCUUUAUGACAUUCGACUUUAUAACUUCAGACUAUAAUUAAAGUUCAUUGACAUAUUGAGAAAAGAAAAUAUAUUAAAUAUAUAGAAAGCACAAAUUUUUGGGUAUUCUACGUAAGUAGGAUAUUUAAUAAAACAAGUAC
rnacentral:misc_RNA from 1 species